rnacentral:rRNA from 1 species
AGUGAACGCUGGCGGUAGACCUAACACAUGCAAGUCGAACGGCAGCACAGUAAGAGCUUGCUCUUACGGGUGGCGAGUGGCGGACGGGUGAGGAAUACAUCGGAAUCUACUUUUUCGUGGGGGAUAACGUAGGGAAACUUACGCUAAUACCGCAUACGACCUACGGGUUAAAGCAGGGGAUCUUCGGACCUUUCGCGAUUGAAUGAGCCGAUGUCGGAUUAGCUAGUUGGCGGGGUAAAGGCCCACCAAGGCGACGAUCCGUAGCUGGUCUGAGAGGAUGAUCAGCCACACUGGAACUGAGACACGGUCCAGACUCCUACGGGAGGCAGCAGUGGGGAAUAUUGGACAAUGGGCGCAAGCCUGAUCCAGCCAUACCGCGUGGGUGAAGAAGGCCUUCGGGUUGUAAAGCCCUUUUGUUGGGAAAGAAAAGCAGCAGGUUAAUACCCCGCUGUUCUGACGGUACCCAAAGAAUAAGCACCGGCUAACUUCGUG